AUUGAACGCUGGCGGCAGGCCUAACACAUGCAAGUCGAACGAGUGGCGGACGGGUGAGUAAUGUCUGGGAAACUGCCUGAUGGAGGGGGAUAACUACUGGAAACGGUAGCUAAUAACGCAUACCAUCAGAUGUGCCCAGAUGGGAUUAGCUAGUUGGUGGGGUAAGGGCUGACAAAGGGGACGAUCCCUAGCUGGUCUGAGAGGAUAACCUGCCAUGCUGGAACGGAGACACGGUCCAGACUCCUACGGUAGGCAGCAGUGUGGAAUAUUGCACGAUGGGGGCAAGCCUGAUGCGCCCAGGCCGCGUGUAUGAAGAAGGCCUUCGGGUUGUAAAGUACUUUCAGCGGGGAGGCGUUACCCGCAGAAGAAGCACCGGCUAACUCCGUGCCAGCAGCCGCGGUAAUUC
rnacentral:rRNA from 1 species